GAUGAACGCUGGCGGCGUGCCUAAUACAUGCAAGUCGAGCGAACGGACGAGAAGCUUGCUUCUCUGAUGUUAGCGGCGGACGGGUGAGUAACACGUGGAUAACCUACCUAUAAGACUGGGAUAACUUCGGGAAACCGGAGCUAAUACCGGAUAAUAUUUUGAACCGCAUGGUUCAAUAGUGAAAGACGGUCUUGCUGUCACUUAUAGAUGGAUCCGCGCUGCAUUAGCUAGUUGGUAAGGUAACGGCUUACCAAGGCAACGAUGCAUAGCCGACGUGAGAGGGGGAUAGGCCACACUGGAGCGGAGACACGGACCAGACUCCUACGGGAGGCAGCAGUAGGGAAUCUUCCGCAAUGGGCGAAAGCCUGACGGAGCAACGCCGAGUGAGUGAUGACGGUCCUCGGAUCGUAAAACUCUGUUAUUAGGGAAGAACAGAUGUGUAAGUAACUGUGCACAUCUUGACGGUACCUAAUCAGAAAGCCACGGCUAACUACGUG
rnacentral:rRNA from 1 species